AUGGCAUACUGCGAAACUAAGUUGGCCAUCUUCGUGUUCUCGUCGAGCACCAGACAAUGGAGAGCUGCUGCAUCCAAAGGUUGGAGUGAUUUGGUCCUUAGCGGCAGCGAGUCCGCCAUGAUGCCACAGGUCCACCCUCUUUUUAUCAGGCACCAUUAUGCUUAUGGCUGCUUCUACUGGGACUGGACGCUCUUCAGGAGGAAAACGUUGCUCAUGCUUGACACAAGAAGGAUGGAGUUCUCCAUUGUUGUCCCCCCACCUGGAGAAUGGGGCAAGGAAGGUUUUGCCAUUGUGGAGGCAGGGGAAGGCAGGCUUGGGAUGUUUGGUUUCCAUGGUGAAUCUGCAUCUGACCUUACCUAUACCUUUGCACGGAAUAAAGGCGAGAAUCCCAGCCAGUGGCAUAUGGAGAAGACAAUCUCACUAGAUUCUGGUUACCGGUAUUACAUCAUAGCUGCAACAGGAAGGUAUUUGCUAUUGAUAAGGACACCAGACAUAUCUCAUGAGAACCCACUCUUUGAAUAUUUUUCGAUUGAUGUCAAGACGUUGCAGCUUCAGAGGGUUUAUUCAGAUCAUAGCAGGCUUAACUUGUCGGGGACACACACAUAUACCAACUUCCCGCCAUCAUUGUGGUCUUCACACACAAAUAUGCAGUGA
rnacentral:rRNA from 1 species